rnacentral:rRNA from 1 species
UGGGUAACCUGCCUCAAAGAGGGGAAUAGCCUCCCGAAAGGGAGAUUAAUACCGCAUAAUAUGUUUUAGUCGCAUGACUUAAACAUCAAAGGAUUUUUCUUUUAAGAAAUUCCACUUUGAGAUGGACCCACGGCGCAUUAGCUAGUUGGUGAGGUAACGGCUCACCAAGGCAACGAUGCGUAGCCGACCUGAGAGGGUGAUCGGCCACAUUGGAACUGAGACACGGUCCAGACUCCUAGGGACGG